AGAUGGGACAAAGCACAAGAUUAGUUUAGAAACUGGACUCCGCAAUUCCUCCUCACCCUUGCCCCCUCCCUCCCGCAGAAGCCAGCUGCAGGAAGGACAGGUCAGUGCUACCGUGUCUUUCAAUAUCCUCUGUGGGGAGGAGGAGGUACUGGAAUGCAUGAGCUGAGACUCCGCGAUAAAUGUCCUUCAAAUACCCUGUCCUUUACAUGCUCAAUUGCUAAUGUCCUGUUAGCCCUUUAUUGCCUCCCAACUAAACUGCCUCUUUAAAAUUUAUUUUAGUUCUUGAAAUGUCAUCUUAAUGGGUCUCUCCACCUACUGCUUCACCAAAUUGCUACACAGGUAUCCAGAACGUUCUUCAUAAAGUCCACUUCAAUCCUAUUACUCUCAUGACCUCCAAUGGCUGGCUCUCCAACAGAUCCUUGAAUUAGGUAAAAAUUCCUCUGCCAGGUACUCAAAACCUUCCACAACACGGCGCCUACCUAUCUUUCAUUGCUUAGGCCCCAAUACUCCCUGUUGUACAAAUAUGCAAACAACCUUCUCCUUGCUCAAGCAGGUCUCUUUACUCGGAAUGCCCAUUCUAAUUGAUUCCUUCCCUCUCUCCAAUCGAAGAUCUGUCCAUUUGCUGCUUCCUCCACGGAGAUUUUUCCCGAAUUCCACCCCCCACCCCCAAUAAAACGUGACCUAGUCAAAUUCUAGAGAUCCCGAGGGAUAGGAGGCUACGUCGUUUCUAAUACACCUUCCCGGCCCCUGCCACUUUGCGCGGCGCGCAGGGGGCACGCGGGGCGGUGAACUGACAGCCGAGACCACCGCCGAGGCUCAGAGUAGAAUCCAGAAUGCCAAAAUACCUAUGCAUGGAAGGCCACAGACAAAGCCCUUCCCCCUCCCAGCCCUUGUAGGACGCCCAGAAACCCCUGCCGAACACCCUCCACACCCUGGCUCGCGCCUCCGGCGGCGUGGUCUGGAGCAACCCGUCACUCCGCCCCCUUACCGCCAUGACUCUCUGGCCCUCCCUCUCAAUGGUUUCAGCCCCGCACACUUGAGGGAAGUGCCGCUCGGCCCCGCCUCCGCGUUCCUUCACCUACUUCCCGCCACACCCACCCAGCGGGCCGUGCCGCUCUGCCCCACAGCUCUCGAUGGUACUCUUUGCGCUUCUCAGUCGGGGGAAGAAGCAAGGGGAAACGCCGGGGAAAACCAUAGAGAACCCCGCCGGCCGACGAGGGAAGAGAGAGCGGCCUCCAUCGGCCCGAAGUCCUGGAGGCGGCUGGGCCGGAGGCGGUCGCACAAAGGGAGUCCCGGGAGGCCGCUCCAGCGGCUGGAGGACCAUAGAGACGCAGCUCCCGCCCGCCCUGGGCCGGGAGCUUUGCAGGUUACAAAACGGCUUUCCCAUUUGCUGGCUCUUGUGAUUCUCGCUCCCGCCCCACGUUGUGGACGCUGUCAUCACCUCCACUUUACAGAUAGGAAAGCUGAGGCCCUGGGAAGCGAGGUUACUCUGUCUGCGGCCACACGGUGAGUCAGAGCCGAAAGGCAGGUGGAAACCCGGGUGCCUCGGGUCUCAUUUUUUCCGCAGGCCCUCUCUCCACCUUAAUUUGUCCUUUCUCUUCCUCAAUGCCUGUGCCCCAAAGAUAGGCUCAUUUCUCCUCUUCUGACUACCGGUCUCCCACCUCACCCGCCUUCCAGCGGCUGAAGGUUCAGGUUCUCCACCUACACCGACCUAGUCCUCCCCCGCAGAGCGGUGAUAAUAUUCAGUAAGUGGAGGCUGUGGUUUCCAGAGAACCCUCUGACCUCGGAAGUGCACUUCCCAGCUACCUUCUGAAUCCCCUGAGCCAGGGUUUUGAGUUGCAGGAUUUUCACCUGCAGCCUGAUUUCCUAGUCCUAAGCCCUCACCUGAGGUGCAUGACUCAAUUUCAUGAAGCGAUUACCGUCGUUCUUAUACAUUACUAAUUAUUCAGCUUCAGCUAAUGUUAGCCCUGGAUAACAGGAUAUGCAGUUUAGUUGCCAUUCAUUUCUCCAUUGUGUUCUAGUGUUGUCAAUAUGAGGCUGUAGUCAGUGAGUUUGAUAUUUUUUCACGUGGGUUGCUUUAUACCUAAGGAACCACUGGUUUGUUAUCUUUGUAGAAAUCUGGCUUUCUCUGAUGCAUCUCCGUGUCUUCAGUUCUUCACUAGAAUCUCAUCUGUCUGACUUGCAUAGAUGUUGUGUUUGUGUUCAGUGAAGUGGUAAUGUCAGUUAAUUGCACCCAGAAAGCUCCAAGUCUAGGGAGGGAGAUUGAUAAGUAACAACGGUGCCGUGUGACAGAGUUUCUGACAGAGCUAGGUACAAGGUGCCAUUGGGACCCCACAAAGAGUAACUUCUAUGAACAACGUCAAGAAGCCUUCAUAGCCAAAAUGACAUUUGUGUAGAUUCUUAAAGGACGGGAGUUGGUAAGACAGAUGAGAGAGAUGGAGAAGGGGAAAAGGUCCAUCUGAUGGAGAGAGAGAGAGAGAGAGAGGGAGGCAUGUGUGAGGGUAUGGGAGCAAAAGAGGAUGUGGUGAGCCUGGGGAGUGGCAGCUCAUUGAUAUGGCUGGGUCAGAGGUCUGUUAAGGAGCGAGGUGGAAGAUGAGUCUGGAGAGGUCAGCAGGGCCAGAUCCUGAAGGACGGGCUUUAGACCCAUACUAAGGAAUAGUGAGAUCACAGUAUAGUAAGAGGGGAAGGGACCUCUGAGAUCCCUUGGCCCCAGUUUUGUUGCAGAUAAGAAAACUGAGGCCCAGAUUGCUUAAUGAUUUCACCAAGGUCACUUAGCUCCAAGAAACAUAACCUUCAGUCUUUAAUAUAUUGGCCAAAACUUAUUGGCUCUCUCCUAAUGCUGAUCCCUAUUAGCAUCUGUUUACUUUUUGUUCUGAACAUUGUUGUAAAAAGAAAACUU
ensembl:lncRNA